rnacentral:rRNA from 1 species
GCAGUCGAGCGAUGAAGUUUCUUCGGAAAUGGAUUAGCGGCGAACGGGUGAGGAACACGUGAAGAAUCUGCCCUCCACUUUGGGAUAACACCGGGAAACCGGUGCUAAUACCGAAUAUUGAAACAUAAGUGGCAUCACUGAGUUUUGAAAGAAUUUCGGUGGAGGAUGACUUCGCGGCCUAUCAGCUAGUUGGUGAGGUAAUGGCUCACCAAGGCAACGACGGGUAGCCGGCCUGAGAGGGCGACCGGCCACACUGGGACUGAGACACGGCCCAGACUCCUACGGGAGGCAGCAGUGGGGAAUAUUGGGCAAUGGAGGAAACUCUGACCCAGCGACGCCGCGUGCGGGAUGAAGGCCUUCGGGUUGUAAACCGCUUUCAGUAGGGAAGAAGCGAAAGUGACGGUACCUACAAAAGAAGCACCGGCUAACUAUGUGCCAGCAGCCGCGGUAAUACAUAGGGUGCAAGCGUUGUCCGGAAUUAUUGGGCGUAAAGAGCUCGUAGGUCGUUUGUUACGUCGGAUGUGAAAACCUGAGGCUCAACCUCAGGCCUGCAUUCGAUACGGGCAAACUAGAGUUUGGUAGGGGAGACUGGAAUUCCUGGUGUAGCGGUGGAAUGCGCAGAUAUCAGGAGGAACACCAAUGGCGAAGGCAGGUCUCUGGGCCAAUACUGACACUGAGGAGCGAAAGUCUGGGGAGCGAA